CUUGAAUGACAGGGGCUUUUUCCUCCUGAGGUAUAUAGAGAGUGGAUCCUUCUGCAUCAGGGUUCAAGCUCAUUCUCCCUCUGCCAGCGAGACUACAGCUGCACAAACAGGAGGAGAAGAAAAGGGCUAUUCUUGUUUGCUGUUUUCAGGAGGAGGAGACCAGUGUUCAUGGCCUGUCUUUCUGCAUAAACUCAUUUCACAAAGGUCCUGAAGCUGUCCUCUGUCUUCAGCUCUCCGCACUGAGCAGCAGGAAGUUGAAUUCUCACCCCUUCCUCUGAUACAGAUGAUGAAAUCGAGUUAACUUUGCAGCUAAGGUCUUAUAUAUUACUUUGAGAAGCAUUUUUCAGUCGAGAGAUGUGAGAAAUUGUUCCUCGGAUUUGCUAGGUUCUGCAUUGCUGCUUGCUGCUUUCUUGUACAGCAGUAUCAAGGUAUGACUGUUAUCCCUCCGGGUUCAGAGACGGUAACUGUUGCGCUCCACGGGUAUUGCAACGCUGUGCAGUGUGACAGCCCGGCUGCCCUGAAAAGGGAAGCUUGCUUGUGCUUCUAGAGCGAGUAAAGCUGGACACUGCUGCUCUCAAAGCUUGUUGAUGCUUUGAUAUUCACGAAAGCUGGCUUGUGAUCUCACUUGUGACCUGCCUCCUUUCUG
rnacentral:lncRNA from 1 species